GGGGGGGGGUCAGGUCUUCCUGGGAUCUUUGUUUGAGACAGAAUACCUUUGCCUAUCAGACAUACAAUUCUUUUACUCUGAAAGGAAGAGUCAAACUAGUUUGGGAGGGACCACAACACAUUAUUUUUCAGAUCAGUGAUACAUGCUUUAUCAAAGUAUCCCCCCCCACACCCCUCCAGAAUAUCAAAUGGUCAGACCCUAAAGGUGUAGCUUUUUGAACUAAUAUCAUAAUGAACAAGACAAGACUUUAACACAGACUACAGACAAUGGUACAUGGAUAUGAAAACUUCAAAAAUCAACCCAGUUCUGUUCCACACGUUUAACACUUUCGUUUAAGGAAACCAGAUUGGUGGCCAAGCCAUUUGCUCAAAGGUUGUGACAAAGUACUCUGUUCUGUCUAAGUGACCCUAGUCCUGUGUAGACAAAUUAGAAUCAGUCUAUGUUUGUAUUGAAUUGGAAACCAGUGCAUAUGCAGUGAAUUAUUAUUUGUAUGACCUUUGACCCAACUGUGUGAUCUCAUCCGAGUUUGCUCAAGUAAGGAGUGCAGAAAUAGUAGUCGGAUGUUGAACGCAUGCAUGGCUAGCACAGGUUCAACAUAUCACUUCAGCUGGGAGUUGUUCAACUAGGACUUGUACUAAAACAGCCAGUCAAUGAUUUCUUACACUAAAUCAGUUCAGUUUCUUGUUGCAGACAAAUGCAAAUCUAUCCUAAAUUUUCAGAAGAAAGAAAAUCCAAUUGAAAGGCUGUUUUGUUUAUGUUUGUAAGUAUUUUUAUUUCUAUUUGGGUUUAAAACUUUUUUAAGGGGUGACUUUGGGAAAUACAUAAAUCCGGAAAAUAAGUAAAUUAUAAAAAUACAUAUGUCAAGCCCUAACAGUUGUUUCCUGAAAGUAAAAAAUUCUUUUUAAAAACAUUUGAAAAGUGACCACAUCCUUCUAAUCCCCUGAGGUAAAAUGUGGAAAUAGAACAUUUUAAAAACAACUGAGCAAAAGACAGGUGACAUGGCUGACAAGUUGUAAGAUGCCUUUUGAACAAUCUCAGAGAUGCUGUGGUCAAUAACAGUGUGUUACCUUGAAGAUGUUGUUGCCAAUUCCACUGAUGCAUUGUUAGAGAUUCAGGAAUUUGUAGAUGAAAAACAACUGAUGGAUGGACAAAUACAUUUAGGUUUUGCAGAGAAGUAUAGGGGACAUAGAAGCAGCUUAUCCACCUCUAAGCUUACAGAAAUGAAAGAAUUUGCAUAUUUGAUCAUAUUUUCUCUGCAAAAUCUUAGCUAAUGUCUAUUCGUUGAUUGUUUUUAAUGUCAACUAUUUCAUGAUUGUUUUAAAUGUCUGCAUGUUUGUUUCUGAAAAACAAUUACAAGUUACUUUCUUGGAAAAUACAGUAAUUGCUAUAAAAACACUAGUUACUGAAAUCAUAUCAAGAUCUGUGAAACUUGACAUCAAGGUAUCUGCUAAUUGCCCAAGCACACCAAGGAAAACUUAUGAUUAUUUUUCAGAAGCAAAUGUUUACUUUUCUGUAAUUAUAUGCAGUUGAAGUUGAUUAAUGUUUUUGUUAAAUGUGUGUUUUCUUUGAGGACCUAUCUCUUGAGUUGUUAUUGAUAGAAAUUUUGUCUUCAUCUUCAUCUGAAGAUUGGAUGCUUUUAUUAAGGGUAUCACUUACUGGUGCUAUUUCUAUGGCUAUUAGAAUAUGUGUUGUUACAUAGUAAAUAUGUCGGACUUAUUCCAGGAAUUUCUUUUUUUUUCUGCAAUAACACGGUUUGAAUUAGUUUCCAUAUAUGAUACAACAUAGAAAAAAUAAGAAUAAUUUUGUACUAAAUAUUUUAAUGAAAGACAAACACUAUACAAAUGUCUAAUAUCGAUUAACCCAAAUUGAAAAUACUUCUUUCCAUAAUUUCUUGUUUUUCCUAUCAAGUACUCAAUAGUUUAUUUAAUAGUAUUAUUGUUAUCAAUGAAUUCUAGUCAAAUUAACAGAUAUUUGAUUGUGUCAUGUAUGUUGCACCUUGAUGUGUUCUGAGUCAAUUUGGGUGAAAUAAUUCCUUAGCGUAUAAUCCAGUUAGAAUAUUGUAACAAAUGAGUAACUAGUCAUGUUUUAUAAAAAAUAGGAAAAAAUUCAGUAAUUAAAAUUCAAUAGAACAAUUUUUUAAAUUAAUAUUUAAUUGACUCAAAACAUUUCCGGGCAGCAUAUAUGGCAGGUGUUGUUGAAUGAAAUAUGUUAGAAGUAGUGAACAGAAUAUGAUGCCAUUAAAGUGAAAAGGGAGAUAAGCCAUGAGAGUGACAAGGGAGGUAAGUCUUACUACCUAAGCGAGAAGGAGAUAAGUCUGUAUGGUUUCUUUCACUCAUCAGGAAUUAAUUUGAUUCUUCACUUGUGCUUAUAGAGACAACUCAUCAUAUUCAUUUCAGGAAAAUAGCAGAUCUGAAUUUGUCAAUCUAUAAGAAUUGACAAAUGAAUUGUAGAUCUAGCAGCAUACAUUCCGUAAGGUCACAAUUUGUUGUUUUCUUUUUUUGUUCUCAUUUGUGCAAUACCAUUAUGAAAUUAUUAUUUCUAAACUGUUCAUAGUGUAAAUAAAUCACUAUUUAUUCAAA
rnacentral:lncRNA from 1 species